GAUGAACGCUGGCGGCGUGCCUAAUACAUGCAAGUCGAGCGAACGGACGAGAAGCUUGCUUCUCUGAUGUUAGCGGCGGACGGGUGAGUAACACGUGGAUAACCUACCUAUAAGACUGGGAUAACUUCGGGAAACCGGAGCUAAUACCGGAUAAUAAUUUGAACCGCAUGGUUAAAAAGUGAAAGACGGUCUUGCUGUCCCUUAUAGAUGGAUCCGCGCUGCUUUAGCUAGUUGGGAAGGUAACGGCUUACCAAGGCAACGAUGCAUAGCCGACAUGAGAGGGUGAUCGGCCAAACUGGAACUGGGAAACGGUCAAGACUACUCCGGGAGGCAGCAGUAGGGAAUCUUCCGCAAUGGGCGAAAGCCUGACGGAGCAACGCCGCGUGAGUGAUGAAGGUCUUCGGAUCGUAAAACUCUGUUAUUAGGGAAGAACAUAUGUGUAAGUAACUGUGCACAUCUUGACGGUACCUAAUCAGAAAGCCACGGCUAACUACGUG
rnacentral:rRNA from 1 species